GAAAUGACUGCUAAUACCGCAUAUGCCUUGAGUAUCACAUGGUACAAAAGGGAAAGGAGCAAUCCGCUGAUAGAUGGGCUUGCGUCUGAUUAGAUAGUUGGUGAGGUAACGGCCCACCAAGUCGACGAUCAGUAGCCGGACUGAGAGGUUGAACGGCCACAUUGGGACUGAGAUACGGCCCAGACUCCUACGGGAGGCAGCAGUCGGGAAUAUUGCGCAAUGGAGGAAACUCUGACGCAGUGACGCCGCGUGCAGGAAGAAGGUUUUCGGAUUGUAAACUGCUUUAGACAGGGAAGAAACAAGACAGUACCUGUAGAAUAAGCUCCGGCUAACUACGUGCCAGCAGCCGCGGUAAUACGUAGGGAGCAAGCGUUAUCCGGAUUUAUUGGGUGUAAAGGGUGCGUAGACGGGAAAUUAAGUUAGUUGUGAAAUCCCUCGGCUUAACUGAGGAACUGCAACUAAAACUGGUUUUCUUGAGUGCUGGAGAGGAAAGUGGAAUUCCUAGUGUAGCGGUGAAAUGCGUAGAUAUUAGGAGGAACACCAGUGGCGAAGGCGACUUUCUGGACAGUAACUGACGUUGAGGCACGAAAGUGUGGGGAGCAAACAGGAUUAGAUACCCUGGUAGUCCACACCGUAAACGAUGGAUACGAGGUGUAGGGUGUGAUAAACAUUCUGUG
rnacentral:rRNA from 1 species